rnacentral:rRNA from 1 species
GAUUUCUGGAUUGAUUGGCCUGACCCGUCUCGCAAGAGAUGUGUGUCGGUGCUGGUCAUCCAUCUUUGUAGGGCCCCUUUUCUGUGCGAAAGUAUGGAAAAAGGUGUGUUCCUACAUCUUUUACUUUGAAAAAAUUAGAGUGUUUAAAGCAGGCAGGAUUGCUGAUGAAUACAUUAGCAUGGAAUAAUAAUAUAGGACUUCGGUUCUAUUUUGUUGGUUUCUAGAGCGGAAGUAAUGAUUGAUAGGGAUAGUUGGGGGUGCUAGUAUUCAGCGGCCAGAGGUGAAAUUCUUGGAUUCGCUGAAGACUAACUUAUGCGAAAGCAUU